UCCCGGUGCCCGGGUCUGAUACUCGCCGCACCCCUCCUCCGCUCCAGGCCCGCACCGCCACUGCCGGGGACGAGGGCGCCUCCCUCCGCGUGCGCCUCGCCGAUGACGACGCGUCGCCGCGGGAGGCGCCCAAUUUCCCCGCGACAGGAGGGGAGGGGCGCGAGCGUCUCUGAGGAACCCGCGCGCUUCACAAGUUCGCCGCCGUGGAAGGAGGCGAAUUUGCCCAGGGACGUGAGGGGGAGAGGAAGGCCGUCCCCCUCGCAUCACCUUCCCCCUACCCGACGCGGGCUCAUCGCGCCUCACUCCCCCACCUGAAGCUCGGACCCCUCGCGCCUCCCGUGCGCCACUCGACGCCGCCUCUGGCGCGAGACCUCACGGCCCGACGCUUCCGAGACCGCGGCGCCUCCAUGCUCCUCCACCGCACGACUUGUUCGUUCAGAAGAGUUUGGAUCGUCGGCCUCGACGGCUUCCAGAUCGGCAUCAAACCGUCCAGGACCUCUACAACGGCAUCCGCGAGGUACGUGUCCGCAAGAUGGGUGUGCGUAUUUGACACUGAUUCCGAUUUUCUGGUUUGCUCUCUAAUCUGUAUGGGAAUUCCUCAUUGCUCGAUCUGCAGCCUGUAUAGACGAGUUUUGUACUUCAUAGUCAAGCUAAUUGCACGUUCUGAUGCUAGUUUACUUGAAUGGAGCAGAUAAUCUUGUCGUGAAAAAAAAUAGAACAGAUUUAGUUAGCUUAUGGUAUGGUAUGCAGUUGGAAAUUGAUUUGUUUAGAGUUAAGGUGCGAACAUGGUCAUUGUUCAUUUGUCUUAUUUAGAGCAGAUAAUCUUAUUUAGAGUUUAGAGCAGAUAAUCUUAUUUAUUGAGGGCUUAUACAGGCUUCCAAGUGAUAAAAACAGGACUUGCUUUCUGUUUGGUUCCUGUUUUUGUUUGAUCACAAUUUGGGUAGUGGUGUGUGGGAGGAUAGCCUAUUUAGGAUCUGACUAAUCUAUUACUCUUGAACAUCUCUUGCAUCUUCCAGUAUCCUUCUUGGAGUAUCCUUCUUAAAGAUAAUUGAGCAUCUCCUUUCAUUUCUCUUAUGUGUUACAUGGUUAUUAAGUUGAGUGCUUCCAUGCUGAUCAAAUUUAGUUCAUCUGAAAUUCUAUCACUAAAAUUGGAGAUCAUACCAAUGCCACAAUUGUCAACUCAAUAAAAAUUAUUUCUAUGCACUUGGCAAUGUAACCAUUGCAAUUGAGAAACAAAGUUCCAGUAUCCUACAGGCAAUUGAGUUUAUUUGCAGCGACUUUUCUCCUGCACUUCUUAGGCCUUUGAAUAUAUGAUCUGAGGGUGGAAGAUGAAUUAAGAACCUGCAUUGCAUAUGUUUACUGUGUUUGUUUCCUUCCCUGCAUCACUCAAAUGUCAAGAGAUUUUCUAAAGUUCCAAAGAUCUGAGUUCGUGUUAUAUCACUCAACUUGGUACAGCUGAACGAAUACAAAAUAUUAAAAUAAUCUACUGAAUCAGCGGCUCAUACAGAUUGAAAUGGUUCUUAUCUGCACUGAACUAUUAGAUCAGGUUCUUGGCUAUAAUACUGCACCUUUAGUUUAUAUGGUGAAUUUAUCAUUAAUGUGAAAACUUAGCAUGAGAAAAAGUAGACAGUGGUGUCAGGUUACAGAGGAGCAGAUGAUAUUGGCGUCCAAGGAACCGAAGGUACUUUCAGGAGUCGCAUCUGGUGCAACAUAAGCGAACAGUGCCACAGGACUUUCGUGCUUCUGAGGUGAACACCCAGUGUGCAAAGUGAAUUCAGGACCCAUACAUGUAGACUUCUGUCUAUGCUGUGCCAAGUUCGUUCGUCGGAACGCAGAUGGGUGGAACAUUGAAGACCCAGACGAGUAGACUUGUAGAUUUCUGGAUUGCACAUUCGAAGACUGAGUGUGUAAUUCAUCUUCAUACUUAAGUAUUGUAGUUGUUAGGUUUUAUGUUUACCAAACUUAGGUUUAAUGGCAGUCAGACGUGUAUAUCAUUUGUAUAUUUGAAUAUGGUUUGUAAACUUUAAUGUAUUAUAUUAUGUAUUGUAAAAGUAGUUUCAAGUACUAUCAUACUAUACCAUCUGUGCUCAUCUUCGUGUGAGACUACCGUUGUUAUUUCAA